CUUAUGCUGUGCUGAAGCAUGUGCCACAUGGCAUUCUCUUGGAAACUCUUUUCUGCCUCAGCAAUAGGAAGCCUGAUUUGCUGGUCUAUUGCCUUUGCCUUAUUUUGUUUGUCAUUUAAGGAAAAAAAUGUCUUGGACCACCCAGAGUGAACAAUCUUUCGGAUCAUUUUUUUGGUCUUCCCUUGAAAGCAUUGCCCACACUUGAUGCAUUAGCAGUUGCCUAUCCGAGGUACAUUCAGACUGUCCCAUGUUGUAGCAAGCAACCACUUUAGGCAGAACCCUGUACGAACAUCUGUGUCCAACAAUGCUUCAAGCUCAGCUGGGAACAAUCAAGAAAUUGUAAGAACCACAGCAAACGAGAUCAAGGACUCCAUUUCAACUUCUCUUUGAAACCAAGAGGCAAAACUUGUAAUCAUUGCAAGGGCAGAUGCAGCCCUGACAUAUGACUGGGGGAGGAUUCUUCACCAUUCAGCUGUGCCCACAGGAUCUGCACCAGCAAAGAGUGUUGCACCCACCAAUGGUAAUGAGCAAGAGGAAGAGAGAACCGAGAGAUCUUUAGACUCUUCAGUAAACCCACACUUCGUGUAAAACAGGCCUGAUGCAUUGCUCCAUUCUGGACACUAGUGCGCCUCUCCAAAAUGACUACUGGGAAGCAAAGUAGGUUCAUAAAAUAAAGCCAUGAGAACAGGCCCAUGUGCCAGCAUUUUUUACUCUUCUUAGUUGGGCAGUUUGAAGACACAGGACAAAUAUCUGUUGGUGACACCUUUCCCUUCAAUCACUGGUCCUGUGAUCUGCAGCAGUAACACAACAACCAUAUUGCUCCAUCAUUGGAAAAAUGCCUGAAGUGAACUGUUGGCUCUGAUUCUUUCCAACAGCCUUUCCAGGUUUGUUUGUUUUUCAUAACUGCUUUGCUUCCCACCAUUUUUAACCGAGGUCUUUAUUCUUGCCUUGAGAACACCUUCUGUGCAAAGAGCCUCACAGCCACUUCCCCUAAUGCGAGGCCCAAAUGUAGACUGCUGCUCUUUGCAAGUUUUGAUUUUAUGUUAUUUUAUCCUUUCAGAACUGUUCUCAGUAACAUGCUGAGAAAUU